rnacentral:rRNA from 1 species
UUACCGAGAGACGAGGCUUCCAGUGGUCUCACUCUUCCACCGUGCAUAUUGACCUCUGUUGCUUUGGCGGGCUCUCAGCCUGGCCCCUGGAUCCCCGAUCUUGGGUUAUGCCCUCCCGCCCAAGGCCCUCAAAUGAACUCUGGUAUUGACAUCGUCCGAGUUUGUAUCGAAUCUAUAAAACUUUCAACAACGGAUCUCUUGGUUCUGGCAUCGAUGAAGAACGCAGCGAAAUGCGAUAAGUAAUGUGAAUUGCAGAAUUCAGUGAAUCAUCGAAUCUUUGAACGCACAUUGCGCCCUCUGGUAUUCCGGGGGGCAUGCCUGUUCGAGCGUCAUUGCAACCCUCAAGCAUUGCUUGGUACUGGGUCUCGCCCCUGCGGCGGGCCCGAAAUCCGGUGACGGUCCGCGAGGACUCCGGGCGUAGUAAGAUUUUUCAAUCCCGCUUUGGAAGCUCUCGAGUGUGACCGGUCAAACCUUACGUAUUUUCCACGAUUGACCUCGGAUCAGGUAGGGAUACCCGCUGAACUUAAGCAUAUCAAUAAGCGGAGGAAAAGAAACCAACAGGGAUUGCCUCAGUAACGGCGAGUGAAGCGGCAACAGCUCAAAUUUGAAAUCUGACCUCUUCGGGGGCCCGAGUUGUAAUUUGAAGAGGGUGUUUCGGGCGAAGCGCCGGCCUAAGUCCCUUGGAACAGGGCGUCAUAGAGGGUGAGAAUCCCGUAUGCGGCCGGUGACCGGACCCAUGUGAAACCCUUUCGACGAGUCGAGUUGUUUGGGAAUGCAGCUCUAAAUGGGUGGUAUAUUUCAUCUAAAGCUAAAUACCGGCCAGAGACCGAUAGCGCACAAGUAGAGUGAUCGAAAGAUGAAAAGCACUUUGGAAAGAGAGUUAAAAAGUACGUGAAAUUGUUGAAAGGGAAGCG